rnacentral:rRNA from 1 species
GGGGGGGGGGGGGGGGGGGCGGGGGGGGGGGGGGGCGGGCGGAGGGGCCCGGGUUGGGUGGGGGGCUGGAGUGGCGACCGGGGGAGUAACACGUGGGUAACCUGCCCUUGACGUUGGGAUAACUUCAGGAAGCUGGGGCUACUACCGGAUAGGAGCUCCUGCUGCAUGGUGGGGGUUGGAAAGUGUCGGCGGUUGGGUAUGGACUCGCGGCUUAUCAGCUUGUUGGUGGGGUAGUGGCUUACCACGGCUUUGACGGGUAGCCGGCCUGAGCGGGUGACCGGCCACAUUGGGACUGAGAUACGGCCCAGACUCCUACGGGAGGCAGCAGUGGGGAAUAUUGCACAAUGGGCGGAAGCCUGAUGCAGCAACGCCGCGUGCGGGAUGACGGCCUUCGGGUUGUAAACCGCUUUCGCCUGUGACGAAGCGUGAGUGACGGUAAUGGGUAAAGAAGCACCGGCUAACUACGUG